AUGAAAAGUCGCGUUUAAUAUAAUUUAAUAAAUUCGUUUACUCCAGUAAAUUUCUUGUAUUGAAUUUAAUUUAUGUAUAACGGUACAUUUUACAUGAGAUAUAUUGUGAUAUAAUUAAAUACAGUUUUCAAAUAAGUAUAAUCAUAUUUAAUGCAAAAUACGUCGAGAAUAAUAUAGUUUAAUUGAGAUAAUUAUACGUUCCGUUUAAGAAUAUCGACAUGUAAAAGUAAAUAUGCUUAUACUUAAAGUUUAAGUACAUUUUUGGUAUUUUGAAUAUGUCAUAAAUAAUUCUUUAUACCUAAUGUAAACUUAUGUUGAAACAUUUUUGAAAAAAAAUAUUUAGGCACCCUAUUCAUUUUAAUUUAUUUAUUUCUCAUUUUUAUUUAUUUACCCUUAUGUAGAUUUUUCAAAACUGUGGAAUAUAACUUAGUUUUUUCUCUAUCGACUACCACUGUAGUACAAUUACAUCGGGAUCGAAGUCGGGCUCGAAAAGCAAUUUAUUUAAAAACAACACACCGCGCCGAAAUUCAAUUUUUUGGAGAGUUCCACGCAGCCAUGUUGAACUUGAUCAUGAUGUUGUACGGGAGGAAGGGGCGAAAGAGAGUUACUCGAAAAGGAGAAGCAUGAUAAACUUUGGAUGGAAUUUAUGUUUUAACAGAAGAUGAAGACAUUUACGACCCUGUUUAGCGUUGCAGUGUGGACUGUGCCUGAGACGAUUUCCCAUAACGCAGGCUAUGUAGACAGCUUGUGAAAAUGGAAUCCAAAUGCUCACAAGAAAUGACAAAAGCAGUAUGAAGAUUAACACAACGAAAUUGUGCCAGAAAAGUUUGAAGUAGCUAUGGGAAUGAUCAACAUUAAACUUGCUGAGGCUCUCUUCCUGAAAGUGACUUGACCAGAUAUUUGGCUAUCCAGUAUGAGUAUCUUUCUGCUACAUUAAAUAAAAUAUCGUGGAGGAACACGAAGAAAAGGGCUGCGCACCUCAACAUAUUCAAGGUCAAGCAGCUUUUUACCAUAUCCAUAGUAUCUUGCUGCUAAAUGAAAGAAUUAGUGUGGAGGAGCAGAGAAAAGGGCACCUCAACAUGUUCAAGGUCAAGCAGAAAUUAGGAGCUAGGUGUGCUUCUCCAGAGCUGAAAACUUCUUGGCAUGAAGAGAAGAAGAAGCAAGAAAAGCAGUUUUAA